rnacentral:piRNA from 1 species
UUGCAAAAAAAAAAAUUCCGA